rnacentral:rRNA from 1 species
AAGUCGUAACAAGGUUUCCGUAGGUGAACCUGCGGAAGGAUCAUUUACGAGGUUACUGGAGGAGGACUCUGAUGCUGGCUCUUUGGCACUCGUGCUCGAGUCCCCUUCGCUCAUCAUCCCACACACCACUGUGCACUACUUCGAGUUAUGCGGUCUCGCUCGCCGGGAUUGCCUAAUUUGGAAACACUACAAACUUUUUACCAAGUCAGAAUGUAAUGAAGUUAAUAAUACAAUACAACUUUCAACAACGGAUCUCUUGGCUCUCGCAUCGAUGAAGAACGCAGCGAAAUGCGAUAAGUAAUGUGAAUUGCAGAAUUCAGUGAAUCAUCGAAUCUUUGAACGCACCUUGCGCUCCUUGGUAUUCCGAGGAGCAUGCCUGUUUGAGUGUCAUGGAAUUCUCAAUCUUUAAUGCUUCAAAAGAGUAUUUAAAGACUUGGACUUGGAGGUCUGUGCUGGCUCUUGUUAGUCGGCUCCUCUGAAAUACAUUAGCGUGAAUAUUAUGGAUCGCUUCGGUGUGAUAAUUAUCUGCGCCGUUGUUGUGAAGUAUAUGAAUAUGUUUGCGCUUCUAAUCGUCGCUGUCAAAGUGACAAUAAAAACAAUGACUCUUGACCUCAAAUCAGGUAGGACUACCCGCUGAACUUAAGCAUAUCAAUAAGCGGAGGA